rnacentral:lncRNA from 1 species
GGGGGCCAAGCACACUAAUGGGCUGGGGAAAUCUCCCCUGUGUAAGUUUUCGCAAACACUACUAGGGUGCAACCAUGAACAAAACAAGGUCCCCUCUAUCCACAGGAGAAGGAACAAGGCCCGAACUUCUUUGAGAUGUAGAACAGAAACAAACAAGUCCAGGGCUUCCUAAGCAUGGCAGGAGACAGGUGAGAAGUCAGCACCCUCGUACUCUGGGACCUCAACCAUUCCCACUGUCAUCUGUUUCAACCGCCAUGGCUUCAACACCCUCCGAUCUAAAGGUCUUCAUCUUUCACUUUAUUUCUAUUUAAUACUUUUCGUUAUUAAUAAAAAUCGACUAUCUUGCUCCU